rnacentral:rRNA from 1 species
AUUGAACGCUGGCGGCAUGCUUUACACAUGCAAGUCGAACGGUAACAGGUUAAGCUGACGAGUGGCGAACGGGUGAGUAAUGCAUCGGAACGUGCCCGAUCGUGGGGGAUAACGCAGCGAAAGCUGCGCUAAUACCGCAUACGAUCUGAGGAUGAAAGCGGGGGACCGUAAGGCCUCGCGCGAUCGGAGCGGCCGAUGUCAGAUUAGGUAGUUGGUGGGGUAAAGGCUCACCAAGCCGACGAUCUGUAGCUGGUCUGAGAGGACGACCAGCCACACUGGGACUGAGACGCGGCACAGACUCCUACGGGAGGCAGCAGUGGGGAAUUUUGGACAAUGGGCGAAAGCCUGAUCCAGCAAUGCCGCGUGCAGGAAGAAGGCCCUCGGGUUGUAAACUGCUUUUGUACGGAGCGAAAAGGCUCUCUCUAAUACAGGGGGCUCAUGACGGUACCGUAAGAAUAAGCACCGGCUAACUACGUGCCAGCCGCCGCGGUAA